AUGCUUCGUAUUAGAGCAAAUGACUCUAAUUCGUCCGCACCUACGAAUCGGUCGACAUUUUGUACAAAUUUUACGAAUGGAAGCUCUUAUUUUCAUAUUUUUGUAUCCUUUUUUAAACUAUGA
rnacentral:rRNA from 1 species